GACGAAAUUUUUUUUUUGGAGGGGAGAAUGUGAAGGCCCAUAUUUGAGUUGGGCCGGCCCUUGAGCAAGGGCGGCCCAACGAGUGCAAGGGGGAGGGAGUCUCCCGAUUGAAACACCCUCCCUCCCCUGUUUUUCGGAAUUCCUCCUCCCCCUCCUCCCGAAUCCACCGGAGGGGAGGUUAUAGGGUGAUAAAACCCUACCAAAUCAGGCCAAGGAUCUCCUCCCUCCCUUCCUAGGGCAUCAACCGAGAGCCUCC
rnacentral:lncRNA from 1 species